UUCCUACUCCCUCCGUCCGGAAAUACUUGUCCUAGAAAUGAAUAAAAUGAAUGUACCUAUAACUAAAAUAAGUCUAGAUACAUCCAUUCCUAGGACAACUAUUUCCGGACGGAGGGAGUAUUUG
rfam:Triticum aestivum genome assembly, contig: Triticum_aestivum_CS42_TGACv1_scaffold_542619_6DS